rnacentral:rRNA from 1 species
CGGCGGGCCUGUUCCGUCGCCCCGUUCCCCUUCCCCCACGAACAAAACCCCGGCGCACGAUGCGCCAAGGAAUCGCAACGAGAAAAGGAACGAGCACCCGUYGCGCGYCGGGAACGGAAUGCGCACGGGCGGCCUCGUAUUCUUUGAAAACAAAACGACUCUCGGCAACGGAUAUCUCGGCUCUCGCAUCGAUGAAGAACGUAGCGAAAUGCGAUACUUGGUGUGAAUUGCAGAAUCCCGUGAACCAUCGAGUCUUUGAACGCAAGUUGCGCCCGAAGCCUUCGGGCCGAGGGCACGUCUGCCUGGGUGUCAUGCACCGUCGCCCCCCAUCCCCACUCCCCCGAGGGGAGUCGGGAAGCCCGGGGCGGACAAUGGCCUCCCGUGCGCUCUCGCUCGCGGUUGGCCUAAAUCCGAGUUGUUGGCGGCGAGCGCCACGGCAAGCGGUGGUUGGAAAGACCCUCUGAAGUGCCG